UAUGGGGAAACCGAAAACCAGUAUAAGAGAGUAGGUA
ncrna:Chitinophaga pinensis DSM 2588 DTF805b RNA